AGCGAACGCUGGCGGCAGGCUUAACACAUGCAAGUCGAACGGGCGUAGCAAUACGUCAGUGGCAGACGGGUGAGUAACACGUGGGAACGUACCUUUUGGUUCGGAACAACUGAGGGAAACUUCAGCUAAUACCGGAUAAGCCCUUACGGGGAAAGAUUUAUCGCCGAAAGAUCGGCCCGCGUCUGAUUAGCUAGUUGGUGGGGUAAGAGCCCACCAAGGCGACGAUCAGUAGCUGGUCUGAGAGGAUGAUCAGCCACAUUGGGACUGAGACACGGCCCAAACUCCUACGGGAGGCAGCAGUGGGGAAUAUUGGACAAUGGGCGAAAGCCUGAUCCAGCCAUGCCGCGUGAGUGAUGAAGGCCCUAGGGUUGUAAAGCUCUUUUAACGGGGAAGAUAAUGACGGUACCCGUAGAAUAAGCCCCGGCUAACUUCGUGCCAGCAGCCGCGGUAAU
rnacentral:rRNA from 1 species